rnacentral:rRNA from 1 species
UACGGGGGGGCAAGCGUUGUUCGGAAUUACUGGGCGUAAAGGGCUCAUAGGCGGCCAACUAAGUCGGAUGUGAAAUCCCCAGGCUCAACCUGGGAACUGCAUCCGAUACUGGAUGGCUUGAAUUCGGGAGAGGGAUGCAGAAUUCCAGGUGUAGCGGUGAAAUGCGUAGAUAUCUGGAGGAAUACCGGUGGCGAAGGCGGCAUCCUGGACCGACAUUGACGCUGAGGAGCGAAAGCCAGGGGAGCAAACGGGG